UUAAGGAUUGGCCUUGUGAUUUGUUGAU
rnacentral:piRNA from 1 species